rnacentral:lncRNA from 1 species
AUGGCUGCAGCCUCACACCGGCUUUCUACUUGUCGUGCCUCCAUCCGGCUCUGUGCCCCACAGCUGUCCAUGGUCACCGGACCCUCACUACUGCCUCACCGGUGCCCUCGGCUCUCUGACAGGCUGGAGUGGUGGAAGCGCUUGGCCCUGGAUUUGGACGUGGCCUGCAGUCCAGUUCCUCUCUGCCCACUUGCUGGAUCUCUGUGCAUCUCUCAUCCUGUUCCUUGGAGAUCUGGGACUGCUGAGAGGUCUCAAUGGACAGAGAUGGUGAAGCGCGCAGGAAGGGGGGCUGACUCGGAAACAGUCCUUGAACCCGCUGUCCAAACUUGUGUGCGCUCCCCCAUUCUCCUCCCAGAACCCAGGCCCCCAGCUCCCGACUGUCCCUCCCACAGUGGUUCUUUCUGCUCUGUUGGAAAGUUCCCCCACGGCCCUCCCUCCCACUGAAAGUGACUGUCCUGCCCUUGGGCUUGACCACGUCUGGGCUUUAUCUUUCCUAUUAGCCCAGGGCCACAGGGAUGUCUUACAUGGCUCAGACUCAUUUGACUCAGUAUUCACGCAACUCUACAAUAAUUAUUUGUCAAAUGCAGGACCCAAUGACUACGUCUUUUUUUUAUUUUUAUUUUUUUGAGAGAGAGACAGCCAGAGAGCACAAACAAGGGAAAUGGCAGAGGGAGAGGGAGAAGCAGGCUCCCCACUGAGCAGGGAGCCUGAUGCGGGGCUCGAUCCCAGGACCCUGGGAUCAUGACCUGAGCCGAAAGCAGAUGCCCAACCAGGCGUCCCCCCAACAACGACAUCUUAUCAGUUGGCAGAGUCAGCCCUGACUGGGGAAAACCCAGAGGAAGGAUGUGGAAGGUGAGAAGGGAAGGGCUUUGGUGCAGAGUAGGCAUCACCAAUGGGGCCAGUCUUUCUGGGGAUGCUGCUGCCAGUCCCCCGGCUGACUGACUGACUGAUCGAUCGAUUGGGCAGGUCCUGACAGAGGUGAAGCCUUCAAAGGCUCCGUGAAACUUGUCGACGCUACCAACCAGGUGCUCCAUUUUUACUGCAAGAGGCCUUUCCUCUUCCACGUGUAUAUAGAAACACAGACACCGCCCCCCCCCCCCCCCCCCCCCCACCUAGGGUGGCCAGUCCUAGCGUUCAUGGAGAUUUCCAGUUCUUUUUUCAGGACCAUGGGAAAGUUUCAUUUCCUGGCCUCUUGAAGAAAGGCUUGGCCAUGUGACUUGGUGAAUAAGCUGUGUGGUCUGAGCAGUGAGAAAUCAACUUGGUUGUGUUAAGCCACUGAGAUGUGGGGGUGUUACCAUAGCAUCACCUAACCGAAACUGACCAAUGCAUCCUAACUCCUUUUCUGGAACAAAACAGAAUACAAGCAAACUAGCCAACAGGCAGGCAGGCAGAUUGUUUCCUUUGAGACCAUGAGCCCUGAGAAUCUAGACUUUAUUCUUUUUUUUUUUAAGUUUUUAUUUAUUUAUUUGACAUAGAGACAGCCAGCGAGAGAGGGAACACAAGCAGGCGGAGUGGGAGAGGAAGAAGCAGGCUCCCAGCAGAGGAGCCUGAUGCGGGGCUCGAUCCCAGAACGCCGGGAUCACGCCCUGAGCUGAAGCAGAUGCUUAACGACUGCGCCACCCAGGCGCCCCUAGACUUUAUUCUUGAACAGUGAAUGGCAGGUCAAGCUGUCCUCAAAUCGAGGCUGGCACUCCAUCCAUGCGGACGGAGCAGACCACGGUGCGAGGCCAAGGUCCCAGCCCUUCCGUUAGGACUGGCCCAUUCAUUGUGCACACCUGCACCGCAGCCCUGGGAGCGGCAGACUGGAGACAACUCUCCGAGCCUUUGGGCCAUUCCACACCACUCCGAGGCGAUCCUGCUCCUCCCUGUGGAAGCCCUCCCUGCCUCCAGCCCCAGCUGUCCGGCCUCUUCCCCAGCCUGUAAGGUCCUCUGUCUCAUAUUCCCAAGUGGAUGGUCGAGGGUGGUCACAGCCUUCACGAGCACUGCCGUCUGCACCAGCAGGGGUUAAGGGGAGAGGGUGGGCGGAAGUGGGGUAAUAUGCACACACUUCAUAGGACUCGAAUGGAAAAAAAGUAACUUGUGUUUUUGACUCCCUGCUCUGAGCCCCAUUUCUGUUUUUCUAAAGAUUUGAUUUAUUUAUUUGACAGAAAGCGAGCAGCAGAGGAAGAGGGAGAAGCAGACUCCCUGCUGAGCAGGGAGCCAGAUGCAGGACUCGAUCCCAGGACCUGAGCCCAAGGCAGACGAUUCACCAGCUGAGCCCCCCGGGUGCCCCUGAGCCCUGUUUGUACUGAUGGCGAACUUGCUCUGUAAUGACGACGAUCUCUCUGGAUUUAUCUUAGUCUCUUCUGUGUCUUCCAUCUUUCAAAUUUCCUUCCUCUCCCCCUGCCUCAUCCUGCGUCAUCCCUGUUCCUGCUUCUCUGCCAGCAGAAGCCUGAGUGUUUGGGUCCCACCCUUGCAGAGGGAGCCCCUUGCCCAGGUUCAAGGAUCAAUCCCGACUUGUCUAAGCCAAUCCCAGCAGAGCCAUCUCCCUGCCUGGCCGGGGCUGUGCAUGGGACACAAAUUCUGACCUAGAGUUAGAGGGGCGGAUAUCUACCGGCCUUGUGACAUGCUGGAACAAAGAAACACAGGCAAAGAAAUGGAAUUUGUUAUCCAAACCUUCCCUGAAAGAAAAAUCCAGGCCUGGACAGUGUCUCAUAGGAACCCAGAGAAUAGAGGAGAAGGGGGAACACCGACCAUUCAGUUCCGUUUCCGAGGCCAGCGUAACCCAGGACAGACAGAAACUGACGAUUCCAGAAGAAAGUUAGAGACUGCUAGGCCAGGUGUAUAUGGACUUAAACAUCCUUGUCAAGUAUUAUCAGCAAAUCAAACCGAACGUCCUAUGAACAGAUAACACAUCGUGACAAAGCAGGAUUCAAUCCAGGAAUGCAAGGUUGUUUUAAUAUUUGAAAAUCUGCCAAUGCGUGCUUUUCUGGCUCUGCUUCCCUGCGGAUUGAAUCCUUACAUGUGUUUCACAGUGCAGUACUUUUUGGACGUUAGGAAAUUAUAUGACACCCCCAGCAGGCUCUGAGGCAGCCCUUCGUAAUCAAAUGCAUUAGUUAAUGCUUCUGCAACAGAGGAUAAAAAUAUUCUCACCCGGGAAGAUGAGUCAAGACUGCAGAUAGCCUCGGGACGCCCGGUUGGCCCGGAUGGUUUAGUGUCUGCCUUCUGCUCGGGUAAUGAUCUCAGAGUGCUAGGAUCGAGCCCCGCAUCGGGCUCCCUGCUCGGCAGGGAGUCUGCUUCUCCCUCUCCCCCUGCUUGUGCUCUCCUGCUCUCUCUGCCAAAUAAAUAAAUAAAAAUCUUUUUUUUAAAAAAAGAU